UGGGGAAUAUUGGACAAUGGGCGAAAGCCUGAUCCAGCAAUGCCGCGUGAGUGAUGAAGGCCUUAGGGUUGUAAAGCUCUUUUACCCGGGAUGAUAAUGACAGUACCGGGAGAAUAAGCCCCGGCUAACUCCGUGCCAGCAGCCGCGGUAAUACGGAGGGGGCUAGCGUUGUUCGGAAUUACUGGGCGUAAAGCGCACGUAGGCGGCUUUGUAAGUUAGAGGUGAAAGCCCAGGGCUCAACCCUGGAAUUGCCUUUAAGACUGCAUCGCUAGAAUUGUGGAGAGGUAAGUGGAAUUCCGAGUGUAGAGGUGAAAUUCGUAGAUAUUCGGAAGAACACCAGUGGCGAAGGCGACUUACUGGACACAUAUUGACGCUGAGGUGCGAAAGCGUGGGGAGCAAACAGGAUUAGAUACCC
rnacentral:rRNA from 1 species